AGCAAAUGGUUAUUUCUCAGUUUAUUUCUUUUGUAUAGAUAAGGCCUUUUAUGAAAGCACAUUUAAAUCGGGAUAAAGACAAGGAGCUUCUAAAGCUCACCCAAUACCUCAAAGAAAUAGCAAAAUUAGAUGACUUUUUGGAGCUGAAUCACAAACAUUGGGAAAGGUAUCUUUCAAAGAAGCAAGGACAAUAACACUAAUAAAACUGUGUGGCACUGAAUUGAAGGGAACAUCACUAAGAUCAUUGGACUUUUCCUUGCUUUUGUGCUAGAGUAUAAUAGUGCUGGACACUGGACCCAAUGCCAGAACGACUGCUAAACUUGGUCUUCCAGUUGGUUGGUUGUGGGUUUUUAAAAGAUCACAGCAAUAAGCUCAAAGUGGGAGAAACAAGUCAGUUGCUUUUUCUUGCAUUCAGUUCUGGUGUUACUUCUCAAAAUACUUUCCUCUCCUUUGCUGCUGAAGUACAACCAUAACCAUCAAAGACCAAAACCAUUCUGAGAAUAGAAAAAAAAAUAUU